UUUUAUGAGAGUUUGAUCCUGGCUCAGGACGAACGCUGGCGGCGUGCCUAACACAUGCAAGUCGAGCGAAGAAUAUAUAAAGAAAUCUUCGGGUGGAAAUAUAUAUUUCUUAGCGGCGGACGGGUGAGUAACGCGUGAGGAACCUGCCUUGUACUAGGGGAUAGCCUCGGGAAACCGGGAUUAAUACC
rfam:Sporanaerobacter acetigenes DSM 13106 genome assembly, contig: EJ96DRAFT_scaffold00014.14